AUCCGCAAUGGCGAGGCAAUGCAGUUCGACCUGACACCGAAGCGAUCGGACGAGCCGCAGGCAGAGGGUGGGUUCAAAACGUAUUGGCGGAUU
rnacentral:tRNA from 1 species